rnacentral:rRNA from 1 species
GUUGAAGCGGCAACAGCUCAAAUUUGAAAUCUGGCUUCGGCGCCGAGUUGUAAUUUGUAGAGGAUGAUUUUGGUGAGGUGCCUUCUGAGUUCCCUGGAACGGGACGCCAGAGAGGGUGAGAGCCCCGUAUAGUCGGCCACCGAUCCUCUGUAAAUCUCCUUCGACGAGUCGAGUAGUUUGGGAAUGCUGCUCAAAAUGGGAGGUAUAUCUCUUCUAAAGCUAAAUAUAGGCCAGAGACCGAUAGCGCACAAGUAGAGUGAUCGAAAGAUGAAAAGCACUUUGAAAAGAGGGUUAAAUAGCACGUGAAAUUGUUGAAAGGGAAGCGCUUGUGACCAGACUUGUGCCGGGCUGAUCAUCCAGUGUUCUCACUUGGUGCACUCGACCCGGCUCAGGCCAGCGUCGGUUCUCGUGGGGGGACAAAAGCUUCGGGAACGUAGCAUCUUCGGGUGUGUUAUAGCCCGCUGCUUAAUAUCCUCGUGGGGACCGAGGUUCGCGCUCUGCAAGGACGCUGGCAUAAUGGUCAUCAGCGACCCGUCUUG